GAUGAACGCUGGCGGCGUGCCUAAUACAUGCGAGUCGAGCGAACAGACGAGGAGCUUGCUCCUCUGACGUUAGCGGCGGACGGGUGAGUAACACGUGGAUAACCUACCUAUAAGACUGGGAUAACUUCGGGAAACCGGAGCUAAUACCGGAUAAUAUAUUGAACCGCAUGGUUCAAUAGUGAAAGACGGUUUUGCUGUCACUUAUAGAUGGAUCCGCGCCGCAUUAGCUAGUUGGUAAGGUAACGGCUUACCAAGGCAACGAUGCGUAGCCGACCUGAGAGGUUGAUCGGCCACACUGGAACUGAGACACGGUCCAGACUCCUACGGGAGGCAGCAGUAGGGAAUCUUCCGCAAUGGGCGAAAGCUUGACGGAGCAACGCCGCGUGAGUGAUGAAGGUCUUCGGAUCGUAAAACUCUGUUAUUAGGGAAGAACAAAUGUGUAAGUAACUAUGCACGUCUUGACGGCACCUAAUCAGAAAGCCACGGCUAACUACGUG
rnacentral:rRNA from 1 species